rnacentral:rRNA from 1 species
AUGGAGAUAUUCUACUACGUGGUGUUCGGGGGCCUGGCGGCGGUGGUGGCGGGGCUGGAGCUGGGCAAGAGCGGCAAGGACCGCGUCGCCACCCCCACCGCAUUCAACGCCUUCAAGAACAACUACGUCCUAGUAUACUCCCUAAUGAUGUCCGGCGACUGGCUCCAGGGUCCCUACGUGUACUACCUCUACAGCCAGUACGGGUUCGACAAGGGCGACAUCGGCCGCCUCUUCAUCGCCGGAUUCGGCUCGUCCAUGCUCUUCGGCACCAUCGUAGGCUCACUAGCAGACAGGCAGGGCCGCAAGCGCGCGUGCAUCACCUACUGCAUCACCUACAUCCUCAGCUGCAUCACCAAGCACUCCCCACAGUACCGGGUCCUCCUGCUCGGCCGCAUCCUCGGCGGCGUCGCCACCUCCCUCCUCUUCUCCGCAUUCGAGUCAUGGCUCGUCGCCGAGCACAACAAGAGAGGCUAUGACCCGCAAUGGUUGUCCAUCACAUUCUCAAAGGCUAUAUUCCUCGGAAAUGGUCUCAUCGCCAUUUUAGCUGGCCUCUUUGCUAACCUCCUCGCUGACAACUUGGGCUUUGGCCCUGUGGCUCCUUUCGAUGCCGCCGCGUGCUUCCUGGCAAUAGGCAUGGCCAUCAUCAUGUCCUCAUGGAGUGAAAACUACGGAGAUCAAUCUGAAGGCAAGGAUCUCAUGUCUCAGUUCAAGGUUGCCGCCAAGGCAAUUGCUUCAGAUGAGAAAAUCGCAUUGCUGGGAGCCAUUCAGUCGCUGUUCGAGGGCUCCAUGUACACCUUUGUCUUCCUCUGGACUCCAGCCUUGAGCCCAAAUGACGAAGACAUUCCUCAUGGCUUCAUAUUUGCCACCUUCAUGCUGUCAUCUAUGCUGGGUAGCUCCAUUGCAUCACGCCUAUUGGCCCGGAAAAUGAAGGUUGAAGGCUAUAUGCAGAUCGUGUUUGCAGUAUCAGCCUUCACCCUUUUCCUCCCAGUUGCCACCAGCCUUCUGGUGCCGACGUCUUCAGUGAAAGGAAGCGGCAUCUCAUUUGGGGGCUCUCUGCAGCUGCUUGGUUUCUGUACCUUUGAGUCCUGCGUCGGCAUUUUCUGGCCAUCCAUCAUGAAGAUGAGAUCUCAGUACAUUCCUGAGGAGGCAAGGAGCACCAUCAUGAACUUCUUCCGCAUACCGCUCAACCUGUUUGUCUGUGUGGUGCUCUACAAUGUGAAUGCUUUCCCUAUCACCGUCAUGUUCGGCAUGUGUUCAAUCUUCCUCUUCAUGGCGGCAAUCUUGCAGAGACGGCUGAUGGUUGUCGCUGACCUACACAAGCUAUCCACAAAAUCACAAGAGAUGACCGCGGAAGACGAGCCUCUAAAUCCUUGA